rnacentral:rRNA from 1 species
AAAUUGAAGAGUUUGAUCAUGGCUCAGAUUGAACGCUGGCGGCAGGCCUAACACAUGCAAGUCGAACGGUAGCACAGAGAGCUUGCUCUCGGGUGACGAGUGGCGGACGGGUGAGUAAUGUCUGGGAAACUGCCUGAUGGAGGGGGAUAACUACUGGAAACGGUAGCUAAUACCGCAUAACGUCGCAAGACCAAAGAGGGGGACCUUCGGGCCUCUUGCCAUCAGAUGUGCCCAGAUGGGAUUAGCUAGUAGGUGGGGUAACGGCUCACCUAGGCGACGAUCCCUAGCUGGUCUGAGAGGAUGACCAGCCACACUGGAACUGAGACACGGUCCAGACUCCUACGGGAGGCAGCAGUGGGGAAUAUUGCACAAUGGGCGCAAGCCUGAUGCAGCCAUGCCGCGUGUAUG